UGGAGUGGAUAUACUCUGCACUUUCAAGAAGGACUCCUCCAACCAUGUCCUGGACAAAAAGGUGGUUUACUGGGAGCUGACUGAACAGCUCUGUACAAGAAAGCUAAAACACCUGGUUAUAGACAAUGAUAGCCUCAUUGUGAAUGGGUAUCAACAUAAGCUGCCAGGAAUCAGAUCCACAAAGAGUUCAAUUAAAUCUAAAACCCAUAAAGACAUGAAACAGGAAUUGGAGAGGGCAGGAGAGACACAUUCUCAGGUGUCAGGAAGUGAGGCUGGUGUAGGAGCUGUCACCCAUAUCCCAGACCAUGGAGAACCAGGAAAAAUCAUGACAUCACUGACUAGUGGCCUCCUGAUCCGGGAAUCCACUGUAUAUGCUAUAGGUAAGAAAAUGUAUUUUCUUUCUAUUAUACUGGUAUUUAUCCUUGCUUUGGGCACUUGUUUUCAAUUUUGAGAUAUGGAGUCAUCUUCAUAUUCUGAGAACAGGACAGUCACUGAUGGGGGAAGUUUGUCAUUAGGUUGUAAGAUUUGACAAUUUCCUCUGGCCUAUUACUUUCUGCCCUAACAUAUGCUGUGAUAGCAGCCUUUGGAUGAAGAUCUCAUGGGGGAUUUUGCCUUUUGUUUGUUUGGGUGUAUACAUAUAAUAGCCUAUUCAUUUUCUUUUAUUAUUUCUCAACUGGGGAAUAGCUCUUUUAAAAAUAAUUUUGUUAAUUUAUAAAACAUAUAAAUUCACAAUAUGUAUCACAUAUUAUAUAUGAUACAUAAAUUUUAUACCUGUCCCCUCCAAUGUAAUAAACAAAUAAAAAAAUAAAUGACAAAUAGUACCUAAAACCAUCAGCAAAGGUCAUCUGUAAUAGGGAUAACUUAGAAGCUUUUUCCAAUAAAAUUAGGGGUGAAGCAAGGAUGGUCUCUAUCACCACUAUUGUUUAAUAUCAUUUUAGGAAUUAUAGGUUUGGGAAUGAGGGGAGAAAAAGAAAUUGAAGGAAUUAAACUAGGCAAAGGUUUAAAAUAAAACAACUUUUACCUCCCUCUCCCAUUGAGAAGGUGGGAGAUAUGUUAUUCAUUAUCCAUGUGAAGUCAUGCAAAACAUUUCAACAUUAACUAUGUUGUGGGGGAAAAAAACAACUAAAAUAAAGAAAUUAAAAUAUCUACUUUAGUCUGCACUCAGAAUUCAUCAGUUCUCUGUCUGGAGGGGGGGGAUAGCAUUAGUGGAGAGCUUAAAAGCUAAAGAGACUGGGGCAGCUGGCUGGUUCAGUGGAAGAGAUCCAGACCUGGAGAAUCAAUGAUCUUAUAGUGAAAUCUGACCUCAGAUAUUUGCAAGCUGUGUGACAUUGGGAAAAUCAUUUAAUCCCAAUUGCCUGAAUCGGCUCGAAUAAGGAGAAGGCAAGGGAGUUGAUGUAAAAAUCUAAAGAGAGGAUUUUAUAAUGUAAACAGGUGAAGUCUGUGUUCUUUUCCUUUCCUAGGACAAAUUUCUAAGUCCAUGAGGACUCAUUGUUUAAACGCUCCUGGUAGACUGUAAGCUUCUCAAGGGCAGGGGAUGUUUUAUUUUUGACUCCAAGUUUUCAAUACUAAGAACCAUGCCUGGCUUAGCAUAGGUGCUUAAUAAGUGUUUGUUGAUUGACUUUUUACAUA